CUGCUCACUUCAGCAGCACAUAUACUAAAAUUGGAAUGUUAUACAGAAGAUUAGCAUGGUACCUUCACGAGGAUAACACAAAAAUUUGGGAAGCAUUCUAUAUUUUU